CUCCAAGUCAGCAGUAUAGGUUGGGGGAGGGGGUGAGACAAGAACGAAGCAACGUCAGCAGUAGCUGGAACAGUAUUAAUCCAGACACCACGCUCGCUACAUCUCUCCAGCCACCACGCCACCACCGACCCCUCGAGUGUACGCAGCCCAGUGUCCGUCUGUGUCUUGUCGUGGGCGUGACGUUCAGCAGCGGCAGGAACAGCAACGGGAAGCUUGAUCUACGUGGGUCUUCGUGCGGCGAGGUGACGUGCCGCUGCUGUGAGAUUAUCGGACCACACCACAGCACAGCACAGAGGAGGAGAGGCGUUGACGAUCCAAAGGCCUGACUCCACAGCGGUAAUGAGCCUCGUCUACCUUGCACUUAACGGACAAUGCUCACUACCAACACCUCUGCCUCCGCCGCUGCCGCCGUUGAGGGAGACUGGCUGGAUGAGUGGGUGAUAGAGGCGAGGCAGGUGUGGUGAGGCGGAGGAUUGGAGACGAGAACCUACAGAUGACGGCAGACACGGAAGAUUCCACUUACCAGGAGUUGGUGAUCCGAAGCCGUGACUGCAGCGAUCCCGUGCGUUCUGCACCAUCAGGGAAGGACUCUCUCUGGCUUCGCACUGCGCCUACAUUGACCGUUGCCGCCGCCGCUGCUACCGCUACUCGGAGGGGCACUGCCUCGCAUUGGGCCUUCACUGCCGUCCCGCUAAUACACGUGUCGCCGUCGCAGCUACUGGCACUGAGGGACUUCGCCUCGCAGCGGCCUGGCAAACACCUGCUACACCACCACCACUAACUCCACCACCGCAGUCCAGAGAUUCAGCUUCGCAUAGCAGACAUCCUCCUAUUCAACGCUUGCUGCCACUACCACCUCAUUAUGGUGGUGUCACUGUACUUGGAUCUGUUGUCACUACUGAAUAAUAAUGUGUAAAGAAA
rnacentral:misc_RNA from 1 species